rnacentral:rRNA from 1 species
CCAGCAGCCGCGGUAAUUAUCGGAAUUACUGGGCGUAAAGCGAGCGUAGGUGGCUUUAUAAGUCAGAUGUGAAAUCCCCGGGCUUAACCUGGGAACUGCAUCUGAUACUGUUAGGCUAGAAUAGGUGAGAGGAAGGUAGAAUUCCAGGUGUAGCGGUGAAAUGCGUAGAGAUCUGGAGGAAUACCGAUGGCGAAGGCAGCCUUCUGGCAUCAUAUUGACACUGAGGUUCGAAAGCGUGGGUAGCAAACAGGAUUAGAUACCCUGGUAGUCCACGCCGUAAACGAUGUCUACUAGUCGUUGGGUCCCUUGAGGACUUAGUGACGCAGCUAACGCAAUAAGUAGACCGCCUGGGGAGUACGGCCGCAAGGUUAAAACUCAAAUGAAUUGACGGGGGCCCGCACAAGCGGUGGAGCAUGUGGUUUAAUUCGAUGCAACGCGAAGAACCUUACCUGGUCUUGACAUAUCUAGAAUCCUGCAGAGAUGCGGGAGUGCCUUCGGGAAUUAGAAUACAGGUGCUGCAUGGCUGUCGUCAGCUCGUGUCGUGAGAUGUUGGGUUAAGUCCCGCAACGAGCGCAACCCUUGUCCUUAGUUACCAGCGGGUUAAGCCGGGAACUCUAAGGAUACUGCCAGUGACAAACUGGAGGAAGGCGGGGACGACGUCAAGUCAUCAUGGCCCUUACGACCAGGGCUACACACGUGCUACAAUGGUAGGUACAGAGGGCAGCUACACAGCGAUGUGAUGCGAAUCUCAAAAAGCCUAUCGUAGUCCAGAUUGGAGUCUGCAACUCGACUCCAUGAAGUAGGAAUCGCUAGUAAUCGCGGAUCAGAAUGCCGCGGUGAAUACGUUCCCGGGCCUUGUACACACCGCCCGUCACACCAUGGGAGUUGAUUGCACCAGAAGUGGAUAGCCUAACCGUAAGGAAGGCGUUCACCACGGUGUGGUUGAUGACUGGGGAUGAAGUCGUAACAAGGUUAACCGUAA